rnacentral:rRNA from 1 species
CCUACGGCGGCAGCAGUGGGGAAUAUUGGACAAUGGGCGAAAGCCUGAUCCAGCCAUGCCGCGUGUGUGUAGAAGGCCUUCGGGUUGUAAAGCACUUUCAGUGGGGAAGAAAGCCUUGGGGCUAAUACCCUCGAGGAAGGACAUCACCCACAGAAGAAGCACCGGCUAACUCCGUGCCAGCAGCCGCGGUAAUACGGAGGGUGCGAGCGUUAAUCGGAAUUACUGGGCGUAAAGCGCGCGUAGGCGGUCUGAUAAGCCGGUUGUGAAAGCCCCGGGCUCAACCUGGGAACGGCAUCCGGAACUGUCAGGCUAGAGUGCAGGAGAGGAAGGUAGAAUUCCCGGUGUAGCGGUGAAAUGCGUAGAGAUCGGGAGGAAUACCAGUGGCGAAGGCGGCCUUCUGGACUGACACUGACGCUGAGGUGCGAAAGCGUGGGUAGCAAACAGGAUUAGAUACCCGGGUAGUC